rnacentral:rRNA from 1 species
UGGGGAAUCUUCCGCAAUGGACGAAAGUCUGACGGAGCAACGCCGCGUGAGUGAUGACGGCCUUCGGGUUGUAAAGCUCUGUUAAUCGGGACGAAUGGUUCUUGUGCGAAUAGUGCAAGGAUUUGACGGUACCGGAAUAGAACGCCACGGCUAACUACGUGCCAGCAGCCGCGGUAAUACGUAGGUGGCAAGCGUUGUCCGGAAUUAUUGGGCGUAAAGCGCGCGCAGGCGGAUUGGUCAGUCUGUCUUAAAAGUUCGGGGCUUAACCCCGUGAUGGGAUGGAAACUGCCAAUCUAGAGUAUCGGAGAGGAAAGUGGAAUUCCUAGUGUAGCGGUGAAAUGCGUAGAUAUUAGGAAGAACACCAGUGGCGAAGGCGACUUUCUGGACGAAAACUGACGCUGAGGCGCGAAAGCCAGGGGAGCGAACGGG